rnacentral:rRNA from 1 species
GACGUAGGGGGCCAGCGUUGCUCGGAAUUAUUGGGCGUAAAGAGCUCGUAGGCGGUCUGUCGCGUCGAAUGUGAAAACCCGGGGCUCAACUCCGGGCCUGCAUUCGAUACGGGCAGACUAGAGUUCGGUAGGGGAGUCUGGAAUUCCUGGUGUAGCGGUGAAAUGCGCAGAUAUCAGGAGGAACACCGGUGGCGAAGGCGGGACUCUGGGCCGAUACUGACGCUGAGGAGCGAAAGCGUGGGGAGCAAACAGG